CUGGCUCUCUUCAGCUCCUGUGUCCCAUUGGUCAGAGUUUACACGUGGAGAGGUAACUAACCCCACAGUUCCAGGUUUCAGCACCCCGCUUUCUCAGCAGCCACCCUGAAGCCCUGUGGUGUGACUUGCCAUCCAAGUCCGGAAGCAGCAAGAGAACCCAGAGCUCAGGGUGUACCGGCCCGUGCAGAGACGGACAUGGGCGAAGAGCCAGGCGUCCUUAGGCAAGCAGAGCUCAGCAGGCCUAUGGGAAACAGUCAGCCACAGAGGACGCAGCCGAGGCGGAACCAGCUGAGGGUCCGUGUGGUGAUGGCAUCAAGGGAAUCUGAGGAGAUGCCUGAAGUGUUUCUGCUGUAAGAUGCAUUUGAAUUCUGUAAUAUGUUCAAAUUUCUCAAGCCUUGUGUGUUUUACUGGAACCUUAGCCUCAGCCAUUAUUUCCUUACCCUGGAAACUCUUUAUUGUUUAGAUAAUGCACGUUUAACUUUAGCAAUAGAAUUCUUGAAUUUUCUUCAUUCUGUUUUUUUUUUUUCCCCUAGAAGAAAUCUCUUCAUGAUUUUGCCUGUUGUAUAUUCAGGAUGGAGUGGUUCUUGUUCAUUGUAAUGCAGGAGUUUCCAGGGCUGCUGCAAUUGUAAUAGGCUUCCUAAUGAAUUCUGAAGAGAUCUCAUUUACCAGUGCUUUUUCUUUGGUGAAAAAUGCAAGGCCUUCCAUAUGUCCCAAUGCUGGCUUUCUGGAGCAGCUUCGUACAUAUCAAGGGGGCAAAGAAAGCAAUAAAUGUGACAAACCACAGGAAUUAGAAGAAGCAACAGUUCCUGAAUUACAUUCCAGCCAAUGAUGGACAACUGUAAUUUCUGAGUUGGUCUCUAGAGCCACUUUCCCUCCUCUUUUGGAGAGUAAACUAGUAGAAACCUCCUUUUCUCAUGCUUUUUUUUUUCAAGUGGAAAUAGAGGUCAAUUGAUCGUCCUAAACUAGGGUAUAAAUAAAUUUUUAAAUUAUAUCAUGUUUUCUUUAGUAUUAUAAUGUGGGAUUAAAUGCUUCUUUGAUUUGCUAAAGGAAAAUAACAAUGUAUUACCAAUAAUUGAUUUCUGUGGAAAGCAAAGGUUUACACAUUUCAAAUCUUCAUUAAAGCAUGAAAGAUUAAAUUAGUUGAUUAAAACUUCUGGUAGUUUUCUAUGCCAACAACUAUUUCCAUGAAGGAAAAAACAUGAAGUACUAUGAAGAAGGCAAAUUUCUUUGUAAGGAAUUUAAGGUUAAAAACAAUACCUUAAACCUCCCCAAAAAGGUAACCAAAAUCUGAAGGUUUACACAAUACUUACGUAGUAGUUACAUUAUUCACAAAAUUUUUAUGUCCUUUUAUGAAAAUGCAGCCACUUUUCAUUUUGCUUUUUAAAUUGUAUUCCGUGUUUAUUUUUAAACAUUUUUGUAUAGCUGUGCUCUCUUACAUUAUUGUGAGCGUAUGGUUCUUUAAUUAGGUGCUAGUCUCUUACAUUGUGUACUUUUUAUUCUGGGUUCCUAGCAUUCUGUUUUUGGAUUCCAUGUCAUAAUUUUCUGAUCUCCUUGAAUCUGUAGGAAAGUGUUUCAAACUGAAGAGUCAUUUUAAAAAUGUGGUCUGUUUUCUAGUUUGGUAUUCUACUAGGGAACAUAUUUUUAAGGAAAGAACACUUAUGGUUUUGUAAGAAAUUUUGAAUACAUUUUUUAGAAAGCCCAAAAUCAUUUACAAUUUUAUUUCUGGCCAGAGGCUUUGAAUGGUUUUUUUUUUUUUUUUUUUUUUUAAGUCUCCAUGUUGGCAAGGCUAAACUCUGUUUGUUAUGAAUUUGCUUAAAGAUAUGCUUUGAAUUAUUAAGAAUAAAAUGCACUUAAAAUUAAUUUUAAUAAUUAAGAUAGAAUUAAAGGCUUUCAAGUAGACUUGCAUGACUUUGAAAAUAUCAUUGCCCUGUAGAUUUUAGUAAGAAAAUCCUGAGCUCUUCUUAGAUACACAUUAUAGAGAGAAGCAUUUUUCUAUAAGUAAGUUGGAAAGUGCACAUUGAGCACAUCUGUGCAUUUGAAAAAGCAGGCUUUCUUAUGCUGGCAGGAGCAAAAAUUAGAAGCGAUAAAUGCAAAUUAUGUUUUAAGAUUGCUUAUAGCCUGACAAGAUGUCAUCAUGUGCAAAGCUAUGAACUUUCCAUCUGUUAAGAAGUAGCAUAAGUAUAAUCAACCUACAGUAAGCUGUCUGAAGCCUAACAAGGCAGACAGAAUCCUCUUAAAUAUGAGACUGGUGUAUCAUAUUGUCUUUAUAGUUAAUAUUGCUGAGGAUUUGCUGGGUAAACCUUGUCUGGUCACGUGUAAGUAUUUAUUUAAAUACAUUUUCCUUUGUUAUUGUUAUUUAGUUUUCAGCCAUUAAAUGCUGUGAACAUGAA